rnacentral:lncRNA from 1 species
GGCAGCGGAGCGGCGGCGGCGGCGGCGGCGGCAGCGCUCGGCGCGGGGCAGAUGAGGAGCGCGGCGAAGGGGGCCGGACGGACAGGCCAUGCUGCCCCCUCCCCCGACCCCGCUCGGGCGGGCGGGCGGGGACGGCCGAGGGGAGGGCCCGCCGGGGGCCGACCUGCCGGCUCCUCCCCCCGCCGCCCUGCGAGCAUAAAGCCCAGCGCUCGCCAGCCCGCCCGCCCGGGCGCUCGCGGAGGCGGCGGCGCCCGGACCUCGCUCCCGCCGGGCUCCCGGGUCCCCGAGGGCGAGAGAGACCCCCUCGAAACCCGAGGCGGGCCGGGACCUGGGCGCGGCCGCACCCCCCACCCACCCCGGCACGGGGGCCGGGCCGCGGGAACGCCCUCCCGGAAUGAAGCGCUUCCCGGUGCCUUCAAGAGUUCUAAACCCCACCCCCAUCGGACUGGAAGAACCUAAGAUGCCUGCCCAGUGUGUUUGAAGAUACUUCUCUAGGUCCGUCUCAAUUUAAAGGGAUCCCCAUGGAGGCAAACGCCUUCCCGUCUUCCUUCUCCCCACAUCCCCAUCUUCUGGGUCUCUGAGACCCUUUAGUGCCUUUGCCCUAGGCUCUUGGGAGCCAUCUCGCCCACCCCUUAAAUGCCUUCCCUUAGCCCGGCUAGUCCACCCUGAAUCGCGGGCAGAUUCAGGCCACUCUCCCUACCCCAUCUCUCCAAAUCCACAGGCUCUCGUCAAUUCCCUGGCAGAAACCACUCAAGAAAGGGUCAAAGCAGGAGGCUAAGCAGCCACUCCUCCCCAAAUCCCCAACCCUGCUGGGGUGGGGGUUGGCAGUCUCAGCGCCACACAAGCCCCCCUCCACCAAACUCACCUCCACUCCUUUUCUCACCCCCCUCCUUCAGUCCACUGUCCCUAACCCGGUGACAAUCCUCGCUGACAAGCCCCUUGCUCACCUUGACCUCCACCCUCAAGUCAACCACUUUUUAUUAAUGUGUGCAGGAGCUCUGGGCAACAUAAACCUGACCUCUGGAAGUAUGCCCAUCCCCCUCCUCUGAGUAUACUUUCCCCGCCCCCCACCCCAGCCACCUCUGGUAGAAGAACGUGAGAGACUCAAGUUAAUGGUUUCCUUGGGGACUUUCUGGGAACACUCAGCAGGUAUAUCCUGCCACCCUGUGUGCAUAACACUAGAAACAAACUUGCUUUUUCCUGUUUUUAUCGUCUGACUGGUUCCACAAUUUCUCAGACACCCCCAGACUGGGGGUGGGGGGUGCCCCCACACAUGGUAUUUCUCACCAUCUUAAUACAAACUGGAAUAUCAGGUGUGUAUUGGAAGAGACAUGGAUAGGGGUCAGCAGGGUGCAUCUCCAGUGUUAGGGAACUGACCAUUCCUAGGGCUAAAUUUCAGGUUUCCCGUGUGUAAAAUGGGGCCAAUGGGGAGAUAGAAGGAGGGAGCCCCAAGCACCCAUGAGCAUUGAUUUUGGUGCUAGCGCUGUUGGGUACUAGCUGUUGGAGGGUGGGAGAUGGGUAAGGAUCAUUUGUGCAGAGCCAGCCAAGCCAGGUGAGAGAAGAUCCAUUUAUUAUCCUCCUUGUGCAGGACCUCAGAGGAAGAAACAAGCGUCUACUUGUUGUCACUACCUGUCACGUGUGGGGUGAAUUUACAGAAGUCCCCUCCCACUGCAGGUUCAUCUCAGUCUCAUUGCUUCCUUCCACUUUCACAGUAGGGGCAAGGAGUCCUUCGAACGGUAGCCUUCAUAGGACAGUGUAGCUGUAAAUGGAUGGUCCUCAUAGUAAAAUGAAGAUCUCAGCGGCAUUAAGGAAAAAAUGAUCUUUAGAGCAACUGGGCCAGACCCAGAAUUAGGAGAUUAGAGGAUUCGGUUCCAGUUCUUUCUCUCUAGUAUGACACACCCUGAAAAACCACUCAGAAAAUUAAAGCAUAAAUUGGUUUAUACUUAAAAAAAAAUCCUCUUGAGAAAUACAGUGGGCCAAUGACAUUCCACCCAAGUACCAAGAUAAAACUUGGCACAUUCAUUCAUUCCACAAAUACUUACUGACACCUGCUACCUACCAGACACUGUCUUAGGUGCUAUAUUCCUAGCAGCUACCUUGGCGAAACUUGCUUAUUAGAGACAGGAAUCAGACAAUAAAUAAAUAGAUAAAUAAAAUUGGUGAUUUGUC